rnacentral:rRNA from 1 species
CACGUAGGGCGCAAGCGUUGUCCGGAAUUAUUGGGCGUAAAGAGCUCGUAGGCGGUCUGUUGCGUCCGCUGUGAAAACUCGGGGCUUAACCCCGAGCUUGCAGUGGAUACGGGCAGACUAGAGGUAGGUAGGGGAGAAUGGAAUUCCCGGUGUAGCGGUGAAAUGCGUAGAUAUCAGGAGGAACACCGGCGGCGAAGGCGGCCCUCUGGACCGUUGCUGACGCUGAGACGCGAAAGCGUGGGGAGCAAACAG